GUUGACGCGCCGGCGCAGGGGUCACCGUCCAUCUUCGCCAGGUAAGCGCGGACGUUCUUCUCUCUAUCGUCGUUGUGGUGCUUGGGUCGCGAGGAGGCGAUGCGUGUUUGCUUUGCUGUAGUUGCUUUGGCGCUGUAGAUAACACUUCUGGUUCUCCUCCAUGCUUGCAGGCCUCCAGAGUACUCCAGCAACAGCCACUGGACGACAGGUAAGCAUGCAUUGUAUGACCUUAGCUAAUUGCGUACAUACAAGUUUGGAUGAAUUCCAAGAGAUGGAGCACUCUAUCCAAAUAGGAGAAGUGUUAGUGAGUACAAUUUCACAAUGGUUUUCAUGGGGAGCAAAAUAAUCACCUGCGG
rnacentral:lncRNA from 1 species